GUACGGGGGGAGCAAGCGUUGUUCGGAUUUACUGGGCGUAAAGGGCGCGUAGGCGCCUCCGCAAGUCAAUUGUGAAAUCUCCGGGCUUAACUCGGAAAGGUCAACUGAUACUGCGGGGCUAGAGGUGCGGAAGGGGCAACUGGAAUUCUUGGUGUAGCGGUGAAAUGCGUAGAUAUCAAGAGGAACACCUGCGGCGAAGGCGGCUCACUGGACCGGUUCUGACGCUGAGGCGCGAAAGCGUGGGGAGCAAACGGG
rnacentral:rRNA from 1 species